rnacentral:tRNA from 1 species
GGAAGGGUCGCAUAGUGGUCUAUUGCACCGGUUUCGAAAACCGGCGCCCGUUUGGGCUUCGUGGGUUCGAAUCCCGCCCCUUCCGCCA